GGGCUCGGUGUCAGCCUGGUCCCCGCUGGAGCCGCCGCCAGCUCCCUGUUCGUACCAUUUUUCACUGUCGCUGUGGCCACCGCUGGACGCUGUGCUGGAUAAAGUAUUGCUGCUGGAGUGACCGGAGUAGGGGCCAUCCGACUGGUGGCAGAAAGAGACAGGAAAGGAGAUGAGGGCGAUGUCCUUGGAUUUGAGGAGGAAGUUAUUUUAACAGUGUGAGACGACGGGGCGAAGACUCAAGUGACUCUGGAUGAAGGCAAACACCGAUUUUUGGAGCUGUUCAGGGUGAGCAGUGGACGGCUAAAGCGGCGGCGGACGCGGUUGUGCGAGGGGUGAACAGAGUCGAUCCGACGACCCUUGCAACCGCCCGGCCGUUUUCACACCCAAGCAGACGCCGCAGACUUUGGAAAGUUGCCCAAAAAAAAAGAUUCCCGGGCGGUUCCCAUCCCAACCUUGGAGAGGGGGCUUAACGAUACCUAUGCGACCCAAUGAGAUAUUUCAAACGGGAUUUUGUUUGAACCGCAACACAACUUACGAAUGACACAAGUGUGCGGAGCCUGCAGACGCGUCGCUGGAGCAGGAGAGGUUGCUGGGGGAGCUGCGGUUGUGAGGGGAGCGGCCCAGAGCAAAGGAGGAGGCCAGGCUGUAGCUGUCACUGCCCGGAGACAUCC